UGGUGGAGUGAUUUGUCUGGUUAAUUCCGUUAACGAACGAGACCUCGUCCUGCUAAAUAGUCCGCAUUAUGCUCGUCAUAGUGUUGGUUUCUACUUCUUAGAGGGACUAUCGGUGUCAUUUUAGCCGAUGGAAGUUCGAGGCAAUAACA
rnacentral:rRNA from 1 species